rnacentral:rRNA from 1 species
CUCAGGAUGAACGCUAGCUACAGGCUUAACACAUGCAAGUCGAGGGGCAUCAGGAAGAAAGCUUGCUUUCUUUGCUGGCGACCGGCGCACGGGUGAGUAACACGUAUCCAACCUGCCCUUUACUCGGGGAUAGCCUUUCGAAAGAAAGAUUAAUACCCGAUGGCAUAAUGAUUCCGCAUGGUUUCAUUAUUAAAGGAUUCCGGUAAAGGAUGGGGAUGCGUUCCAUUAGGUUGUUGGUGAGGUAACGGCUCACCAAGCCUUCGAUGGAUAGGGGUUCUGAGAGGAAGGUCCCCCACAUUGGAACUGAGACACGGUCCAAACUCCUACGGGAGGCAGCAGUGAGGAAUAUUGGUCAAUGGGCGCUAGCCUGAACCAGCCAAGUAGCGUGAAGGAUGAAGGCUCUAUGGGUCGUAAACUUCUUUUAUAUAAGAAUAAAGUGCAGUAUGUAUACUGUUUUGUAUGUAUUAUAUGAAUAAGGAUCGGCUAACUCCGUGCCAGCAGCCGCGGUAAUACGGAGGAUCCGAGCGUUAUCCGGAUUUAUUGGGUUUAAAGGGAGCGUAGGUGGACUGGUAAGUCAGUUGUGAAAGUUUGCGGCUCAACCGUAAAAUUGCAGUUGAUACUGUCAGUCUUGAGUACAGUAGAGGUGGGCGGAAUUCGUGGUGUAGCGGUGAAAUGCUUAGAUAUCACGAAGAACUCCGAUUGCGAAGGCAGCUCACUGGACUGCAACUGACACUGAUGCUCGAAAGUGUGGGUAUCAAACAGGAUUAGAUACCCUGGUAGUCCACACAGUAAACGAUGAAUACUCGCUGUUUGCGAUAUACAGUAAGCGGCCAAGCGAAAGCAUUAAGUAUUCCACCUGGGGAGUACGCCGGCAACGGUGAAACUCAAAGGAAUUGACGGGGGCCCGCACAAGCGGAGGAACAUGUGGUUUAAUUCGAUGAUACGCGAGGAACCUUACCCGGGCUUAAAUUGCAGUGGAAUGAUGUGGAAACAUGUCAGUGAGCAAUCACCGCUGUGAAGGUGCUGCAUGGUUGUCGUCAGCUCGUGCCGUGAGGUGUCGGCUUAAGUGCCAUAACGAGCGCAACCCUUAUCUUUAGUUACUAACAGGUUAUGCUGAGGACUCUAGAGAGACUGCCGUCGUAAGAUGUGAGGAAGGUGGGGAUGACGUCAAAUCAGCACGGCCCUUACGUCCGGGGCUACACACGUGUUACAAUGGGGGGUACAGAAGGCAGCUAGCGGGUGACCGUAUGCUAAUCCCAAAAGCCUCUCUCAGUUCGGAUCGAAGUCUGCAACCCGACUUCGUGAAGCUGGAUUCGCUAGUAAUCGCGCAUCAGCCACGGCGCGGUGAAUACGUUCCCGGGCCUUGUACACACCGCCCGUCAAGCCAUGGGAGCCGGGGGUACCUGAAGUACGUAACCGCAAGGAUCGUCCUAGGGUAAAACUGGUG